GAUCAUGUACUAAUCUUCUCACAUACAAUAAACAAAUUGGUAAACUAGACAUAGAGGAUCAUUAGUAUUAAGAUGUCUUAUAGUAAAAUAAAGACAAUUUUAUAAGAGUUAGAUAUUAGUAGUUAUGAGAAGUAUAUAAUUAAUUUAUGACGGUUCGGAUUGGCACGAGUUCAUCACAAAUAAAUAAAAAGCUAUCAGUUUAUUAUGGGAUUAGAUAACAUAGUCUUGAAGGCUAUGAACUCGAACAUUCUUUAACUAUGGUCCACUACAAGGCCUGAGUAAAGUAUUCUCUACGGUUCAUGCAAGACUAGCUUGCGCAACUUGAUUGUGGUCCAGGAUCCUUUUUUGCUUGUAGUGGACCUAUUGGUGACUCAAAAUGUGUUUGUCAGGUUCAUGCAGUACAAUAAAUCUUUUUAUUUUUCAAGCAAGGGUCAUGGACUAUAUUAUUGUGCUUUGUUACUAUGCAUGAGCCACGUGAAUGCAUCAAUAUUGAUAGGGCCGUUCUUUUUUUUUCUUUUUUUUUUCGAGCAACAAGGGCUGUUCUUAUAUAUACAAAAUAAGCAUUAGUGUUGAAAAUCCCACUCAUGAGUGAUUUAAUGGUAGAUGGAUUUUGGGAAACUAAACAAUCCAGAUUCGAAUCAACCCCACGAUAUUAAACAGUGUAGUCACGCAGAUAUGAAACUAUUAUUUGAGUCCCAUUUGAAUAUUCAGAAAAAAAAUUCAUAUUUAGACCAUGUAUCUCCACUUGAGAGACUAGUUUGAGUUUUUCUAUAGGUUUGGGAUACUCUCAAGUUAAUCAACAAAACUCCAAAUAUUUUAGUUAUAUAAAGUAUAUAAUCUCAAAUCAUUAAAACAAAAUUUUAUAUUUAGCCUCUAAUAUUAAAUGUGAAAAUGUAUAUUUGGGUUAGGUUGUGAAUGGUUAAUGGCCCUUUCAUUUUUUUCCCAGCUGGACGAUCCAUUUCUUACGGGUUUUGUGGUCUAAAUAAAAAUGAUAAUGUAUGUCUGCAUGCACGCCGAUGGAACAUGUAAUUCUUAUCCGUGUAAUGGUGGCCUCUAUAGCACUUAUAUGAUAAAGAAAAAUUAAAGGUGAAUUCG
rnacentral:lncRNA from 1 species